UUUUUUUUUUUUUUUCGCUUUUCUUAGGGCUGCACCCACGGAAUAUGGAGCGGCCCAAGAAAUGGCAAAAAGACCAAAAAAAAAGACUGUCACUGAUACAAAAAGCAAGUAUACAUAUAUAUAUUAAAAAAGACCAUGUUUAUCACAAAUUUUAUUUUCAAUUAAUUGCAAAUACCAGUGUGUCUCUAUUUAGAAGUAGAACAUAAGAAGUUAAAGAAUAAUUUAUAUUUUAUGAGCUUUCAGGAAACUUUAGAUUGUUUUCACUUCUCCCUGCUUUCGGCCGAUUAAACUGAAUUAUAUCUAGACCUAGUUAAGAAAGUGCAAUCAUUAUGUCAAGCAAUCCUUUGUGUUUCAGUUAGAAAUCACAAAAACAGCAUCUUUGAUAGGGAAGGGGAAAUAAGAGCAAUUUAGGUGCCCAUAAAAGUGAUUCCUAAAUUUGAAUUAGUUUAGAAAAAAUCCCACCAAACAGCUGCUUGGUUAAUGGCUAGUAAAAAACUGUGGGAGCUAUGUCAGCGAUCCCCAAAUUGCAGCUAAACUAAUUGCUGGGGAGGUCGCUCUGAAGACAGAUAAAAUAUAUCAGUUAAAUUUUAUGGAAAGUUACAAACGGUUCAGGAGGCCUGAAUUGCUUCUCCUUAAAUCAACACAAGGCAGUCUAGACAAUUGAAGCCCCUUGCCCCUCUCUCUGUUCUGUUCACCCACUGCCCAUGAUUGCACUGCCUGGCCCUUUGCUCACUUAUCCUUCCACAAAAAUGUACUGCUCAACAACAGGCACUGCCAGAAAUGUGACUUCAGAGCCUAUUCCACUGUCACUCACACCUGCUGGGUGCGGGUUAGAGGGUAGAAGAGGCCAUUUGGUCUCCAAGUUGACCCACGCAUGAAUUACUCUUCUAUUCUAAAUUCUCUGGCAUUCCAAAGGUAGGGGGUGUGCUGGGCAUUGGCUGUUUAUAUCUCUCUCUAUAAUCCUUAGUAGCAAAAGCACACAUACACUAGAAAAACAAAUUUAAAAUAUAAACUAUUUCUACUAUCAUCUAAGAAAUACAGAUUUAUGUACAUUAGUUAAUAAGAAAUAUGUUUGUUGUAAUUUUCACAGGCCUUUAUAUUAGUACCUGUAGGUGGGGAUACUCAAAUGAUUAAAUUCAUGAGCUAUAACUAGCUGAAUCUCUCUUGAUUCUUAUUGCAUCUCAUGGAAUCAGUCAAAGCUUGUUGUUAGAAGAUGCCUUCUCAGGAUUUAAUUCUAAACUUCUUAGAGUUUAGGAUGGAUUGUCUCUCUUUUUAAAAGGUACUUGUGUCUCCUUCUUGAAGGAAGGGGAUGGGCAGUAAAUAUUGUUAGGUGUAUGCUUUUACCUAAGCAGACAAGACAGAGAUGAUGGCCUCAUGAAAAAGUACAAGUAGCAUUAAGAGGGGUAAAACUAGUAUCAGCAUUGAAAUCCCUUGUCUCUAACACUCCUUUCUCAAAGAAUGAUUUUGUAAUAACAUCAAAAUGAAAUGGAAUUUAUGUAAGACUCAUGCGCAGUGUCUGACACCAGGAGGAACCCAGUAAGUAUGUUUCCUAAUCUUUUACGGAUCCCUUCCCACCCAUCCAACCAUGUACCUUUGUGUGGGUGUCCCCCCCCCCCGCCCCCCACCAACUUGACCAAGAAUGUAGCCCUGGCUCAUUCAAGGUGUGCUGACCGCCAUUCUGCGUUUUAUCAAAUUAUCCUCUCCAACCUCCAUCUUAUUUUGUCCACUCUGCUUGAUUUUGAAAUUCCCUGGAGGGACAAACAGGGAGGCUACCUUGUGCUUUUCUAAUAGGCUAUUAGGUUAAAAAAGGGAGAAAGGCAUUAUCCUUUUCUGUGAUACAAAAUAAACAAAUACUGUUAAGUGUAGUAAUUACUGUUUUCCCAAAUCACAACAUGCAGUCAAGUGCUUAGAAAAGGCACAGGCAUGAAUUACACAGUGCUUUCUUCCCAGCCUGACCUGCCGCAGAAUCAAAGUAAGAGAGGCCACCCAGCCCUAGCAAACUGCAGCUACACCUACCUCUCAGAGCCCAGCUAUAGAAAAAUUGCUUGGUGUUAGUGAUGGGUUGCCAGAUUCAGCAAAUAAAAAUACAGAACUUCCAAUUAAAUUUAAAUAUCAGGGAAUUCCCAUCAUGGCUCAGUAGUAAUGAACCCGACUAGUAUCCAUGGGAACCCUGGCUUCGAUCUGUGGGUUAAGGACCUGGUGUUGCCGUGAGCUGUGGUGUAGGUCGUAGACAUGGCUCUGAUCCCCAGGUUGCUGUGGCUGUGGUUUAGACUGGCAGCUGCCACCAAUUCGACCCCUAGCCUGGAGACUUCCAUAUGCCACAAGUGCUGCCCUAAAAAGCAGGAAAAAAAAAACGAAUUUCAGAUAGCAGGUUUUUUAAUAUAGCUAUGUCAUCAGUACUGUAUGGGACAUACUAUACUAAAAUGAUGUGUCAUUUAUCUGAAAUUUAAAUAUGACUGGACAUCUUGUAUUUCAUCUGCUCAACUGAGUUACUGAAUAUGUAAGAACUAGAUUACUAGGUUCACCCUUAAUGAUCUUUUUAGAGCUCUGGUCUAAAUCACCUAAAAAAGUUUUUUUUUUUUUUAAGUUAAUAAUUUAUAUGCAGGUGGCUCUCAUCCUUAGAGUACACAGGAAUCAUCUGCAAUACCUUUCAAAGCACAGUUUGCUGGCAUUGCCCUUGUGGCUCAGCAGAUUAAAAACCUGACUAGUAUCUGUGAGGAAGUGGGUUAGAUCCCUGGCCUCACUCGGUAGGUUAAAGGAUCUGGCAUUGCUGUGAGCUGUGGUGUAUGUCACAGAUGAGGCUUGGAUCCUGCGUUGCUGUGGCUGGCAACUGCAGUUCUGAUUCAACUCCUAGCCUGGGAACUCUUGUUUGUGACACAUGCGGUCACAAACAAAAAAAAAAACAAAAACAUAGUUUGCUGGGCUCUCAUCUCCUAAGAAUUUUCACUUCUAGUAAGAUCACAGGUGAUGCUGGUCAUAACAGACAUCAAGAUGAACUUUUUUUGCUCAGGUCAUCAUAAGCCAAUCUC
rnacentral:lncRNA from 1 species